CCUACGGGAGGCUGCAGUGAGGAAUAUUGGUCAAUGGACGAGAGUCUGAACCAGCCAAGUAGCGUGAAGGAUGACUACCCUAUGGGUUGUAAACUUCUUUUAUAUGGGAAUAAAAUGUUCCACGUGUGGGAUUUUGUAUGUACCAUAUGAAUAAGGAUCGGCUAACUCCGUGCCAGCAGCCGCGGUAAUACGGAGGAUCCGAGCGUUAUCCGGAUUUAUUGGGUUUAAAGGGAGCGUAGGUGGGUUGUUAAGUCAGUUGUGAAAGUUUGCGGCUCAACCGUAAAAUUGCAGUUGAAACUGGCAGGCUUGAGUACAGUAGAGGUGGGCGGAAUUCGUGGUGUAGCGGUGAAAUGCUUAGAUAUCACGAAGAACUCCGAUUGCGAAGGCAGCUCACUGGACUGCAACUGACACUGAGGCUCGAAAGUGUGGGUAUCAAACAGGAUUAGAUACCCCAGUAGUC
rnacentral:rRNA from 1 species